GAUGAACGCUGGCGGCGUGCCUAAUACAUGCAAGUCGAGCGAACGGACGAGAAGCUUGCUUUUCUGAUGUUAGCGGCGGACGGGUGAGUAACACGUGGAUAACCUACCUAUAAGACUGGGAUAACUUCGGGAAACCGGAGCUAAUACCGGAUAAUAUUUUGAACCGCAUGGUUCAAAAGUGAAAGACGGUCUUGCUGUCACUUAUAGAUGGAUCCGCGCUGCAUUAGCUAGUUGGUAAGGUAACGGCUUACCAAGGCAACGAAGCAUAGCCGCCCUGAGAGGGUGAUCGGGCAGACUGGAACUGAGACACGGUCCAGACUCCUACGGGAGGCAGCAGUAGGGACUCUUCCGCAAUGGGCGAAAGCCUGACGGAGCAACGCCGCGUGAGUGAUGAAGGUCUUCGGAUCGUAAAACUCUGUUAUUAGGGAAGACCAUAUGUGUAAGUAACUGUGCACAUCUUGACGGUACCUAAUCAGAAAGCCACGGCUAACUACGUG
rnacentral:rRNA from 1 species